rnacentral:rRNA from 1 species
AUACGUAGGGUGCAAGCGUUAAUCGGAAUUACUGGGCGUAAAGCGUGCGCAGGCGGUUUUGUAAGACAGUGGUGAAAUCCCCGGGCUCAACCUGGGAACUGCCUUUGUGACUGCAAGGCUAGAGUACGGCAGAGGGGGAUGGAAUUCCGCGUGUAGCAGUGAAAUGCGUAGAUAUGCGGAGGAACACCGAUGGCGAAGGCAAGCCCCUGGGCCUGUACUGACGCUCAUGCACGAAAGCGUGGGGAGCAAACAGGAUUAGAUACCCUGGUAGUCCACGCCCUAAACGAUGUCAACUGGUUGUUGGGUCUUCAUUGACUCAGUAACGAAGCUAACGCGUGAAGUUGACCGCCUGGGGAGUACGGCCGCAAGGUUGAAACUCAAAUGAAUUGACGGGU